rnacentral:rRNA from 1 species
AUUGAACGCUGGCGGCAGGCCUAACACAUGCAAGUCGAGCGGAUGAAGGGAGCUUGCUCCUGGAUUCAGCGGCGGACGGGUGAGUAAUGCCUAGGAAUCUGCCUGGUAGUGGGGGAUAACGUCCGGAAACGGGCGCUAAUACCGCAUACGUCCUGAGGGAGAAAGUGGGGGAUCUUCGGACCUCACGCUAUCAGAUGAGCCUAGGUCGGAUUAGCUAGUUGGUGGGGUAAAGGCCUACCAAGGCGACGAUCCGUAACUGGUCUGAGAGGAUGAUCAGUCACACUGGAACUGGGACACGGUCCAGAGUCCUACGGGAGGCAGCAGUGGGGAAUAUUGGACAAUGGGCGAAAGCCUGAUCCAGCCAUGCCGCGUGUGUGAAGAAGGUCUUCGGAUUGUAAAGCACUUUAAGUUGGGAGGAAGGGCAGUAAGUUAAUACCUUGCUGUUUUGACGUUACCAACAGAAUAAGCACCGGCUAACUUCGUG